CUACGACGUCGUGGCAACCUUGUGGAUCUAUAGUCGUGUGUUGGUAACCAGUUCGUCAUUUUAAUUCUUAAUCUAUAUGGGCGGACGUGGCUAAUUUAACUUGUCCUCAUUUGCCCAAAAACUAUUUAUGAAAGACACGAAUUUGAUUAAUUCAUGUUGUUUAUUACAGGUAUAGAUAAAUCACAAAUAACAAAACGGUAAACAGGUUUUUAAACAUGUAAAUGAACAGGUUUCUAAUCAUGUAAAUGAACAGGUUUCUAAUCAUGUAAAUGAACAAAGAAGGUUUUCUUCAGAAGCUUGAACACCGAACCAUUUACUCCUCCACAUCUACUCCUCCGUCCACUCCUCUACAUGUCCCUAAAACAAGAAAAAUGAAAUAAAAGAAAGAAAGGACCAGCUUUCCAUUUCAUGACGGCAUCUGGAAUUAAACAGAGGUCACAGCCGUUACAGUAUGCUGUAGUGGCUCCAUACAUUGUUAGUGGCUACUGCGCGCAUUACCCUCCUUACACACUCCCCUGGACUGGCCCCACUAAUAAGGCUGAGAUGGUGUGUCUGGAAAAAAAACACCAUUUGUUGGCAUGCAGGGUCCUUAAGGUGGUUCUCAAGGUCCUCCAAUUCCUCCAUGCACUGAGCUGUCUUGAGGUCCAAGAUAUCAUCCUCCCUUUGACGACCCUGGUUCCUCCGCAGUAAAAGUAGAAUUUCCCUCUGGGAGGCCGCCAGGGUGUCUACUUUCUGCAGCAGCACCUGCAGUGUUUCUGCAAUAAAGGUUUUUCUUUAAAUAAUUGAAGGAUUGAAAAAAGGUAACUUAUUUUAAUUUUAAAUAUUAACAGAAUAAUUUACCAACAAAAAAAAAAUUAAUUAACCUAAGGGUUAGAGGUAGAGGUCCCAGUAACCACGGGACCCGACAAGAUUUCUUGUGAUGCGAGAUUAAAUUCCCAAGUAAAACGCGGCAGCAGUCGAUAACUUUGGUGUAAUUUGAGAGCGGUUGGUCUAACAAUAUCUUUUUCCCGACAUCCUUUCAGAACAGCAUAUCUGCGCUUUAUUCUUGUUGACCACAGGUACAUCCUGCACUCAGGACUGUUAUGCAUGCGCUGCACGCAUGAACCAGUGCUUUCUGCGGCAGAUUUUACAUGCGGGGUCAGCAUGUGCAUAAUAGUGUUCAGUGACAGAGCGGUACAAGGAUGGAGCAAAGUGUGGAUGUGCUGUCCUUGAAGGACGUUUAACAUGUUUUAAUAUAUUAUAUAUAUAUAUAUAUAUAUAGGCUAUAAUAAUUGACAGAUGUUGUAUAUAUUUAUUUAUUUUCUGUGACACUUUACUUACCAAUUUAGUAUUUUGACAAGAUGAAUAAAAAAUAGCUAAUAGGCUAUAUUUGUAUAUUUGUAAUAGGCUUUUUUUCCUACUGUGUUAAGACACAAAAUAUGUUUAACAUUCUAGUUAGAGGUAAACGCAUUUGUGUACAUUUUGUAUUUUUUGAUCACAUUUAAACACAUUUGCUAUCUUGUAUCUUUUACCUUUGAGGUCUUUUGGCACUGAAAAAUCUUGUGGACGCCUUGUCCAUGGUUGUCUCUCUGCUGAAAAGGUAGCAUCACAAUUCUGUUAGACAAUUAUGCAGACAUAUGCAGGCAAGUUUGUUUUUUUUCCUUAAGUUUUUCUCUUAUAGUAUUGAAAGUUUUUGAAUUAAUUUAAUUUAGUUGAAAAACAGCAAGUUCUUCUGCAAGUUUAAACCCUUUCCAAUAGUGACUAUAUAAUUGAUAUCCAUAUCCUUUCACUGUGAAUGAAAUUGCAAAAAAGUGAAAACAUUGUUGAGCAAGAAGGCAAAAUGAUACAUUAAACUUUUGUUUUCUGGGAAGCCUGCAUUUUAUGUAGCUUAAGAAGAACAUAACUAAUUGAACAAAUGCGAUUUAAAGGGAUAGUUCACCUAAAAUGAAAAUUAUCCCAUGAUUUACUUACCCUUUAGCCAUCCUAGGUGUAAUAUGACUUUCUCCUUUCGAACAAACACAGUCAAGAGUUAUAUUAAAAAAUAAUAUAUAUAAUGGUAGUGAAUGGGGUGUUGGAUUUUGUAGCCCAUCCAUCAUAAAGGUACUCCACGUGGCUUCAGGGGGGUUAAUAAAAUCCUUCUGAAGUGAAGCAUUAAGUUUUUGUAAGAAAAUAUCCAUAUUUAAAACUUUAUAAAAUCUUCUAAAUUAGCUUUCAGCAAACCACUAUGCAAAGUGAGUUACGGUGGAAGAGUAAACUUUGACCUGAUGUAUGAUGGAGUAUUGUAAGCUCCAAUUUGAUUUGUCUAAAAAAGAAAGUCGUAUACACCUAGAAUCUCAUGAGGGUGAUAAAAUUUUGAUGUCAUUUUCAUUUUGGGGUGAACUAUUCCUUUAAAUGUAAUUUCCAUAUUGUGUUCAAAUGUAUACACCCUCUUGCUCUUAAUGCAUCAUGUUGCCUUCUUGAUCAUCAGUGAAUGUUUUCACCUUCUUGUAAUUGCUGUGUACAAGUCCCUGAAACGUUAGGGUUAGAGAUCGCAAACCAAAAUUUCACCAAUCAGUUGUGAGCAAACGGACAAAUCACUGAUGUAAAAAAAAGUCACUCCUCCAGUUUCUCUUGUUCCAAAUUGAAGGUCACUUUAGUAUGGCUGCGAUUGUUGUAGAAUUUUCCUUGUUCAAAAUGAAUUGCUAGAGAGGUUUUGAAGCCAGUAGACUUUUUUGAUCACAAACAACAAAGUCGAGUUACGGUUUGCCAAAGGUAAUUCCAGAAUGUCUGUUUUACACUGAAAUAUAUAUAAGCCUGUAGCAGUUUACAGAAUUCCAUACAUGUACUGUUGUAUUUUUGGUGUCCUUUAACAUAUGAGUUCUUAAAGAAUGAUCAAUAGCCUGUCAUGCAUGUAUUUCUAUCUCCUGAACAAGGUCUUCUCCAAAUAUGAAUGUUUAAAUAAUUAUUUCUGUUCUAAGCUACUGCACACAGUCACACACAGUCAAAUAAUAAUAGUAGAACAAUUUCUUCUUAUAGGCAUAAUUCUGUGUAUUAUUCAGGAUUAAUAAAAAUAUUCUACACAAUCCACUUGCUAACUUCCCUCCACUUUAUGGAUUGAGAUGUAUGUCAUUGCUUGCACUGCAAAGGUUUAAAUGGAAUUGCACUAAGCCUCAUUAAAAAAAAAAGUUGUAAGUUAAGCAUGAUCUGUUGUGACGUCACAACCAAAAUGUCACAGAUUGCUUUUGACAAAACUGUAGGACCUUGCAGCAAUGGACGGGACACUUAGCACCUUUUUGACUUGGCAUCUUAGCUAAAGUUCAAAUAAUUAAAUGCUAGUAAAAAUGUAAAUUAUGCUAAUUAAAUUGUAAUUAAAAUAAAUAAAAAUAACAGCCCUCUUAUUUUGUUAAAAUUAACAUCUUGCAUGUUCUGCCACUGCUUAAAUGAACUGUACACCAUGCCCUUGAUCUGUAAAAAGUUGUGUGCAUUACAGUAGUGAACUUGCAUGUCUCUCAUGUAGUAUAAAAAUAACAUUUAAUAUAUGCCACUCUGUUGUUUGCUCUGAACUGAUUCUUGACAAAUUUAUCUACAGAUUUCUUUACCAUUUGAAUAUUCUGUUGCUGCCAUUGGGGAUGGUCUGGGAGGCUCUUCAACAUCUGCAAGCAAGUUGAAUACACAGUUGUUAAGCUUAAGUUGGAGGCCACAUAUUCUUCAGUCACAUCAAUUUAAAUUCUACCUUCAGCUGUUGCCUUGAGACGAGGAAAGGGUUCAUCUGAAUGGGAAG
ensembl:lncRNA